UGGAUGAUGGCGACCGGCGGAAGGGUGCGUAACGCGUGAGCAACAUGCCCUAUACAGGGAGAUACACCAGGGAAACUUGGUCUAAUAUCCCAUAGCAUUCAUUGAAGGCAUCUUUAAUGAAUUAAAGCUUCGGUGGUAUAGGAUUGGCUCGCGUGACAUUAGCCAGAUGGUGAGGUAACGGCUCACCAUAGCAAUGAUGUCUAGGGGUUCUGAGAGGAAGGCCCCCACACUGGGACUGAGACACGGCCCAGACUCC
rnacentral:rRNA from 1 species